rnacentral:rRNA from 1 species
GAUGAACGCUGGCGGCGUGCCUAAUACAUGCAAGUCGAGCGAACGGACGAGAAGCUUGUUUCUCUGAUGUUAGCGGCGGACGGGUGAGUAACACGUGGAUAACCUACCUAUAAGACUGGGAUAACUUCGGGAAACCGGUGCUAAUACCGGAUAAUAUUUUGAACCACAUGGUUCAAUAGUGAAAGACGGUCUUGCUGUCACUUAUAGAUGUAUCCGCGCUGCUUUAGAUAGUUGUGAGGGUAACGGCUUACCAAGGCAACGAUCAAUAGCCGACCUGAGAGGGUGAUGGCCAACACGGGAACGGAGAAAGGGCCAAAACUCCUAAGGGAGGAGCAAGAAGGGAAUCUUCCGCAAGGGGCGAAAGCCUGACGGAGCAACCCCGCGGGAGUGAGAAAGGUCUCCGAAUCGAAAAACCCGGUUAUAGGGGAAGACCAUAUUUGGAAUGAACUGUGCACAUAGUGACGGUACCUAAUCAGAAAGCCACGGCUAACUACGUG